AAACUUAAGUAGUUAACAAACAAUACUACUCGCCAGAGUACUACAAGCAACAGCUCAAAACUCAAAGGACUUGGCGGUGCUUUAUACCCCUCUAGAGGAGCCUGUUCUAUAAUCGAUAAACCCCGAUAGACCCUACCACUUCUUGCUAAUCCAAUCUAUAUACCGCCAUCCCCAGCAAACCCUAAUCAAGGCCCUAAAGUAAGCGCAAGCAUAUUACAUAAAAACGUUAGGUCAAGGUGUAGUCUAUGAAGUGGGAAGAAAUGGGCUACAUUUUCUAAUAACAGAAAAGCACAUAUAACAGCAACCUUUAUGAAACUUAAAGGCCAAAGGAGGAUUUAGUAGUAAAUUAAGAAUAGAGAGCUUAAUUGAAUAGGGCCAUGAAGC
rnacentral:rRNA from 1 species